rnacentral:tRNA from 3 species
GGUGACGUGGCCGAGUGGCUAGGCAGGGGCCUGCAAAGCCCCGUACGGCGGUUCGAAUCCGCCCGUCACCUCAA